CCUACGGGCGGCAGCAGUGGGGAAUAUUGGACAAUGGGCGAAAGCCUGAUCCAGCCAUGCCGCGUGUGUGAAGAAGGCCUUCGGGUUGUAAAGCACUUUCAGUGGGGAAGAAAGCCUUGGGGCUAAUACCCUCGAGGAAGGACAUCACCCACAGAAGAAGCACCGGCUAACUCCGUGCCAGCAGCCGCGGUAAUACGGAGGGUGCGAGCGUUAAUCGGAAUUACUGGGCGUAAAGCGCGCGUAGGCGGUCUGAUAAGCCGGUUGUGAAAGCCCCGGGCUCAACCUGGGAACGGCAUCCGGAACUGUCAGGCUAGAGUGCAGGAGAGGAAGGUAGAAUUCCCGGUGUAGCGGUGAAAUGCGCAGAGAUCGGGAGGAAUACCAGUGGCGAAGGCGGCCUUCUGGACUGACACUGACGCUGAGGUGCGAAAGCGUGGGUAGCAAACAGGAUUAGAUACCCGAGUAGUC
rnacentral:rRNA from 1 species